AUACGCUGAUACGUUUAGGAUUUCAUUUCACAGUCUCUUUCAUUCGGUCCAACUAGACCGAGCAUGAUCCGAGCUCUCGUUCAGUGUAAUGAGUUUCUAUUCGAUUAUUUAAGCAAGCGUAGACUGUAAUAGUCUAGUAAAAUUAUUUAAAGUUUCAGCGCAAUGUGUUUUUGUUCAAAGCUUUCUUACGUAACGCGAACUAAAAGUUGUAAAAACAAAAAUAUAUCAUGAUGAUAGAAAAAAGGAAACACUGACGAUUUUAUACGACGUAUUUUUAUCAUGUUAUUUAUUUUUUGCCCAAUCAGGAUCUCCCGUAACAUAUGUCUAUCAUCGUUGAAACUGUCUAUCGUUCCAUAUUCUACCGAGGCUACAUCAAGCGUAAAGAAAUUAUCCCGUACACAGAAAUACCAAUGUUUAUUAGACACAAAAAAUGUCAAAAAUCAGAAGAUAUCACCUAACUUUGUUACAUCGUUUGAUCACCAAAAGCCUACCCAAUGUGUAGAUAUAACGAACAAUGAAAAGCAAAAGAAUUUAUAUAUGCAAAAUAAACAGGAAUGGCAGUGUAUAAAAUUAGAUUCUGGCAAACUUCGAAAACAUUGUUUCAUGUUAUCUAAGAUACGGUUAACAUCUUUGGUAGUUGUAACAACCAUGGCUGGAUAUGCAUUAGCACCAGGGCCUUUCGAUGCUUUUACAUUUGUCGCAUGUUCUAUGGGUACUGGAUUAGUGUCUGCAACAGCAAAUGCUAUCAAUCAAUUUUUUGAAGUUCCGUUUGAUGCACAGAUGUCAAGAACAAAGAACAGAGUGUUGGUUAGAGGUUACUUAACACCCGGCCAUGCAAUAAUUUUUGCAACGGUAUCUGGCUUUAGUGGAUUAUUAUUAUUAUAUACCCAAGUUAAUGAAUUAACAGCUACUUUGGGAGCAGCUAAUCUGCUUCUGUACACUCUUAUUUAUACUCCUAUGAAACGCAUUAGUAUUCUAAAUACUUGGGUGGGUUCCAUAGUUGGAGCCAUACCACCAUUAAUGGGUUGGGCAUCUUGUGUUGGCAAUAUAAUAUCUCCAGGUGCUUGGAUAAUGUCUGGUCUAUUAUAUGCAUGGCAGUUUCCUCAUUUCAAUGCUUUAUCAUGGAAUUUGAGGCCGGACUAUUCACGUGCCGGUUAUAGAAUGAUGGCAGUCACGAAUCCAAAGCUUUGUCGUAAAACAGCAUUACGUUAUACCGCUGCAUUAAUGGGUCUUUGUUAUUUAGCACCAGUUUGUGAUGUAACAAAUUAUUGGUUUGCCUUGUUAUCGACACCACUUAAUGCAUAUUUUCUUUACCUUGCUUGGGAAUUUCACAAGCACUCUGAUAGUAAAAGUUCUCGCAAACUGUUUCAUUUUUCAUUGAUUCAUUUACCUGUUCUUAUAGUUCUUAUGCUUAUAAAUAAGAAACAGUGGUAUAGUGAUGACAAUGGACGGAGAGAUAUGAUACCUUCCGAAAAAAAGGCGAUAUUUACACAGUUUUAAUGAAAACGAUUGCAUCGACAUUUUCGAGCACUUAAUAAACUACCUUGAAAUUUACGUCAUGAUACUAUAGGAAUCAUAAUAAGCUCUUUUGUAUAUUCUCCUCUGGAAGAUGACGUAUAUAUGGUUGGCACAACCAGGGAGGUAGUUUUAAGUUAUGAUCUGAAAUAUAGAAUGCAAGUAAGUAACAACGGUCAUACUUUGGUGGUAUAUCACGAUAGUGUAAUUAAAAAUACAAAGGAAAGGUGUAUACACAGCCAGAAGGAAAGUGGAUGUAUAUAUGCCAUACGAAUGAAGAAUAAUGUAUAUGAUGGAAUAUAA